UUGGUUACUGCCACUGACCAGCAACAUGAGAACAUGUCACAAUCCCAGGAAAAGAGCAAUAUUCAAAAUGUGAUGUAUGGUUUCUACUGAAUGUGUAUAGCUUUUGUACCAUCACAAAGUUGAAAAUGUAAGUCUAAAUAACUAGUGUAAAUUGAAGACCAUCUGUGUACAUGUUAUCAGUGUGGGCAACAUAAAAGAAAAAAUCCAGAUAGGAAAAGCAGAGCAGUGAAGUCUCAUAGAGUUGAGCAUUAUGAAGAACAAUUCCACAAAAUGCCAAGUAAGCAGCAAAGUCCUAGAAAACAGACAACAGCCAAUGAAUGUCCCACCAUUUCCUGAUUUCUUGUUGAUGGCCUGGGCUACACCAACAACCUGGUAAAAGAAGAG